UCAUAUUUGACAGAGGAAUACAUUUGAUCAGCUCCUCUCUCAUUUGCAGCCACUAACAGGACACGUUGCUAGACAAGAAACUGAUAGGCGAUGCUGAUAGUUUUAGUCUGUCCAUUUGCUAUUUAAGUUCAGUCUUAUUUGUUUUUUAAGCAACAGUUCAGAAUGCCCAAGAAUAACAGCAAACUAACUAUGACAAUGUAGGCAAACUGCAUUUCUAUUUUCAGUCUUGUGUUUUGCAACAAGGCAGUUAGUUAAUUUAGUUAGUACAGCCUUUCUUUUUAAUGUUGAUAUUUGCCCAAGACGUACAUUAGGUUGUCAUAAGUCUUGUGUUGAGUACUUAAAUGUUACAUGUUUUAUACACUGGAAAACUAAAGUUAACUUCAGCUUAUCAGUACCUAUUUUAAGUUUCAUGUAUAUGUUAGUGGCUAUAUUUGGGAUGAAAGUUAGAUACUACUUUAUUCUACAGAACCAUAUGUAUAAGACAACGUUUUGCUUUGUAGCUUAGGUUAGUGCCUAAUUCAUGUUCUUCCCACUUCAGUAACCUCAUACUGAAAUGACAGGCCUGUUUCACCAGAUAGAAUCUACAAAGUUGUGUUUGUUUUUACAGAUGGCCAUGGAGUAUAUUUCAAGUUGACCUCUAACUCACAACUCCCCCGCACCUCCCCCCUCAAAGAGAACCCUUUCUUCUGAAAAAAAAAACAAAAAAACAAAAAAAACCUCUUUUUUAUAAAUAUUUUGUCAUGGUACUUAUAAACAUUUUAUAGUUCACUGUGGGCAAAAUCAUCUAUGUAUAGAAGUAAUGUAUAAGAAGUAAAAUCAAUUACAGAUGUGUUUGCACCCUGAUUCUUUUCUGAUCUCUAAGCAAAGAUGCAACUGUGUUGCUUUUUGAAGUACCAUUCAUCAUAAGACCAGGAGUCCAUUAUGACAUAAAUAAACUAAAUAGAUAUAACAAAGACAUCUUGAUGGUAUAGACUAUCGAAUUUUUACGCUAAAAGUGUUUCACAGGAAGGCUUGUGGGAGACAGUCCACAAAUGUGAGACUUAAACGUGAUCGUCUUUCAGUUGCUGUAUAUCUUAAGUCUAAAAAAUUAUGUGGAAAAUGGUAAGGUGAUCUGAAAUGAAUGCAGAACUCUAACGGUGCAACUUUGAGAUUUAUUACAUAUAAAUUUAUAUUAUAAAUUAUACAUGAAAUGAUUAUGUUCAAGGUAAACAUAAGUAUUUGUCUAUUUGUUAUUGAUUUAACUCAGUCUUUCUAGUAAAAGCAGUGGUCAGAAAUCUAUUAUGUAACAGCCAUUGUCUUCUAUUAAGUUAUAUUUUACAUCUGUUUAGCCAUAUCAAAGUAUAAAGAAAUUAUAUACUAAAUAUUCUGCUUUCC
rnacentral:lncRNA from 1 species